GGGGCUGUAGCUCAGUUGGGAGAGCGCUUGAAUGGCAUUCAAGAGGUCGUCGGUUCGAUCCCGUCCAGCUCCACUA
rnacentral:tRNA from 1 species